rnacentral:tRNA from 1 species
GGAUGGGCCAGCCGAUGGGCGCCGGCCGCGGUCCCGAAAACCGUUGGGGGUAACACCCGUGCGAGUUCGACUCUCGCCCCAUCCGC